rnacentral:rRNA from 1 species
GAUGAACGCUAGCGGCAGGCUUAAUACAUGCAAGUCAAGGGGUCAGCAAUGGCACCGGCGGACGGGUGAGUAACGCGUACACAACGUGCCUUUAACUGGGGGAUAGCAUCUGGAAACGGGUGGUAAUACCGCAUGUGGUUGCGAGGAGGCAUCUCUUUGUAACUAAAACUUAGGUGGUUAGAGAUCGGUGUGCGUCUGAUUAGCUAGUUGGUAGGGUAGAGGCCUACCAAGGCGACGAUCAGUAGGGGGCGUGAGAGCGUGAACCCCCACACGGGUACGUGAGACACGGACCCGACUCCUAC